UACCAGCACCUCGAGUGGUUAGGAGGUUUAUUGGGCCUAAAGCAUCCGUAGCCGGCUUUGCAAGUCUCCGGUUAAAUCCAUCUGCUUAACUGAUGGGCUGCCGGAGAUACUACAUAGCUAGGGAGCGGGAGAGGUAGACGGUAUUCGGUGGGUAGGGGUAAAUCCUCUGAUCCAUUGAGGACCACCAGUGGCGAAGGCGGUCUACCAGAACGCGUUCGACGGUGAGGGAUGAAAGCUGGGGGAGCAAACCGGAUUAGAAACCCUGGUAGU
rnacentral:rRNA from 1 species